UGUAAGUUCUUACUUUUUAUGUAACAAAACUAAAAUAAUUUUAUCUUUAUUCUCUCAUAUAACUUGAUGAUGUUCUGUUUUGUAUUCUUUUAUGCUCCUACUUUAGUAUUUUUAUCAUAUAAACUAUCAUGCUAUACUAAUUCCUAUGGUAAGUAGUAACAUCAUAAGCUUAGAAAUUUCAUUAAUCUUGUUUAUAUCAUAGUCUUAGAGAAUAAAACUUUCAUGCUUCAUGCAUAAUCACUUGAACUGUGUCAGAUGACUCAAUACGUGCAGGAAAAGGUAUACAUCAACUAAUGUAAUGUCUGUUCGAGGAUUGGUUUUGCCAUCAAAAAACGUUAGCGGCGCAGCUUGUUGUCUGUGUUUGUCUUUCAUUCAUAUAUAAUUAUAUUGAAUAUAUAUAAUCCAAAACAGGAUAAUAAGUUGGCUUAAUCAUGCAAACAGCAGUACAAGAAGUUACAGAAUAAGUCUUGACUCAAUGUCCAUCCUAGUAAUAUAACAGUAGUUUAUCUGUAUUUAAUUACAAUAUAAAGAAUAACAGCUUAAUUGCAGCCACAAUUUAGAACAAUUUGUCCCAUGACAUAUAUCAGUAGUUUCUGGUAAAAUUUCAAGAGAUGAUUUUAUCUACCAUCUCUUAUCUCACCAUAUAUUUGUCUGAAAUUGAAUGAAUGGUGACAAGAUAUGAAGACAUGAAUCAAGUAGCAUAUUCCAAUGAUAAGGUAUUUAAGAACAUGGAAACAUAAAGACAAGAGAGAUCAUUAGUGACAAAAUGUGUUUGUUUAGCCAAAGCUCAUCAACAUCACUGCCUUUUAAAGUUGAAUCCACAAAUUGAACUCAUUUAAAUAUACAAAUCAUACAAGAUAAUAAAUAAAUCAAAAAAUUUAAAAAAAAUAAAGGAAAGGGACUAAGUAUUAAAUAUUAAUGGAAACAAAGCCAGGGAAGAGGCAGUGCAUGAGCGGAGUCACAACAGCUAUCUCAUCUGUUGAUGGUUCCAUCCAUGCUCUGUCUGUUCCCUGCCUUCGUCUUGUCGCUAACUAUUAAUCUCAGCCCCCAACCUUUUUUACAUCUAAAUUAAAUUAUCUUACCUCCUCCAUGUUAGACAUCCUUAGUGUUAAGCAGCUUCUCAUAGUCUUAUAAAACUCUCAUAUUCAAUAAGAUUCCCUUCUCAUUGAAAAUUUGGUUUGUUAAAUUAUUCAUAAAAUGCAAUGUUGAAUGAAGGUAUUGAUUGAUUCUGAUUCUAUAUGUAAUAAUCACAUAAAGGAGGGGAUGUUUGUACUUUGCAAUUUUGCAGUACAUAUACAUGUACUAGGAAAUUUUAGGUGUACUACUUAAUGUACUACUAUUAGUAGCCAACUCAGCUUAGCUAAAUCAAAUUUU
rnacentral:lncRNA from 1 species